UAGUCCACGCCGUAAACGAUGUCUACUUGGAGGUUGUGGCCUUGAGCCGUGGCUUUCGGAGCUAACGCGUUAAGUAGACCGCCUGGGGAGUACGGUCGCAAGAUUAAAACUCAAAUGAAUUGACGGGGGCCCGCACAAGCGGUGGAGCAUGUGGUUUAAUUCGAUGCAACGCGAAGAACCUUACCUACUCUUGACAUCCAGAGAAGCCAGCAGAGAUGCAGGUGUGCCUUCGGGAGCUCUGAGACAGGUGCUGCAUGGCUGUCGUCAGCUCGUGUCGUGAGAUGUUGGGUUAAGUCCCGCAACGAGCGCAACCCUUACCUUUAUUUGCCAGCAUUUAGUUGGGCACUCUAAAGGGACUGCCGACGUUAAGUCGGAGGAAGGUGGGGAUGACGUCAAAUCAUCAUGGCCUUUAUGCCUAGGGCGACACACGUGCUACAAUGGUAAGUACAAAGGGUUGCGAAGCCGCGAGGUGGAGCCGAAUCUCAAAAACGCGGCCUUAGUUCGG
rnacentral:rRNA from 1 species